GAUGAACGCUGGCGGCGUGCCUAAUACAUGCAAGUCGAGCGAACAGAUAAGGAGCUUGCUCCUUUGACGUUAGCGGCGGACGGGUGAGUAACACGUGGGUAACCUACCUAUAAGACUGGGAUAACUUCGGGAAACCGGAGCUAAUACCGGAUAAUAUUUCGAACCGCAUGGUUCGAUAGUGAAAGAUGGUUUUGCUAUCACUUAUAGAUGGACCCGCGCCGUAUUAGCUAGUUGGUAAGGUAACGGCUUACCAAGGCGACGAUACGUAGCCGACCUGAGAGGGUGAUCGGCCACACUGGAACUGAGACACGGUCCAGACUCCUACGGGAGGCAGCAGUAGGGAAUCUUCCGCAAUGGGCGAAAGCCUGACGGAGCAACGCCGCGUGAGUGAUGAAGGUCUUCGGAUCGUAAAACUCUGUUAUUAGGGAAGAACAUACGUGUAAGUAACUGUGCACGUCUUGACGGUACCUAAUCAGAAAGCCACGGCUAACUACGUGCCAGCAGCCGCCGCAG
rnacentral:rRNA from 1 species